UAGGGAAUCUUCCGCAAUGGGCGAAAGCCUGACGGAGCAACGCCGCGUGAGUGAUGAAGGUCUUCGGAUCGUACAACUCUGUUAUUAGGGAAGAACAAAUGUGUAAGUAACUAUGCACGUCUUGACGGUACCUAAUCAGAAAGCCACGGCUAACUACGUGCCAGCAGCCGCGGUAAUACGUAGGUGGCAAGCGUUAUCCGGAAUUAUUGGGCGUAAAGCGCGCGUAGGCGGUUUUUUAAGUCUGAUGUGAAAGCCCACGGCUCAACCGUGGAGGGUCAUUGGAAACUGGAAAACUUGAGUGCAGAAGAGGAAAGUGGAAUUCCAUGUGUAGCGGUGAAAUGCGCAGAGAUAUGGAGGAACACCAGUGGCGAAGGCGACUUUCUGGUCUGUAACUGACGCUGAUGUGCGAAAGCGGGGGGAUCAAACAGG
rnacentral:rRNA from 1 species